rnacentral:rRNA from 1 species
AAUGCCAGCCGUUAGUGGGUUUACUCACUAGUGGCGCAGCUAACGCUUUAAGCAUUCCGCCUGGGGAGUACGGUCGCAAGAUUAAAACUCAAAGGAAUUGACGGGGGCCCGCACAAGCGGUGGAGCAUGUGGUUUAAUUCGACGCAACGCGCAGAACCUUACCAGCCCUUGACAUCCCGGUCGCGGACUCCAGAGACGGAGUUCUUCAGUUCGGCUGGACCGGAGACAGGUGCUGCAUGGCUGUCGUCAG